GAACGGCAGGUGAACUACAACUCCCAGAGGGUAGCCCGCCUCCGUGACGACCACAGAUCCGCAUCGAAAGAACUGGUCCAGAACUGCACAUCUAAACCUAGGUUUUCUGCUCUCCACUAUUUAAUUCAGCUCCGUGAAGUAAACCUUAGGACUCGGGGUAGGGAUCGCCUUACCUUCUCCGGGAGGCAAAGCCGCGUCCACGCGCGCCACCGCCAUAUUUGCUGCUUGCUAAUAAUACCAGGCAACCGUCCUCCCGCGGCUCUGUGGAGCUUGUAGUCUGAAGGAGGGAGCCGGAAACUAUAACUCCCAGGAUGCACGGCUCCCAGACGGCCCAAUUGGCUGCUUACGCCUAAUGAUGUGAAGCUGGAGUUAGAAUCUGAGGGUAGUGAGCUCAGGGACCCUGGCCCACUCGCUUAUUUGACAGAUGAGUCAACUGCGUUAUUAGAUGAUCAUUUCACUUCCUUGUCCAGGCGUUUGCAAAAUUUGACACUUUUACCAUCGGGAUAUUACAUUUGUCACAAGAAAGUUCGGCAUGUGAUAGCAGCUGUAGCCUCAGUCACCCUCAGAAUCGCUGUCCCUCCUCAUGAGGACAGAGUGCCGCACUGAGGACAGCAAUACAUCUUCAAUCGGCUUCUUAGGGUUUUCCUCCAGGUCCAUCAUAAUUGCUCCAGAUUCAGACAGUUUCCAUUCCAACUCAUCUCUUGUCAGGUUCAUGCCACCAAACACCAGAGGACCAAUAAACUGAGCCUUGAUAUCUCCUUCCAGGUAAACAAAUAUCGUGGGCAGAUUCCUAUCAGGAUAAUUGGGUAUGCAGGUUGUUGAAAUGGCUUUGAUAAAUUUGACAUCAGGAAACUUCCUGGCAAGUCCACCGAGGUUCUGAUUUAUCAGGGCACAGAGGGGAAUUCCUUGUUUGUAAAGGUGCAAGAUGACCCACAAGCCCUCACCAGCUUUGGUAACUUCUUGAACAUAAUCCUUCCCUGAGAUCUCCAAAACUUCUCAAAAUUUAUUCUUCAAUUUAGUUGCUUUCCACUCAGCCAGUCUCUGCCGUCUGCACAUUUCAAUAGCACAUUCAUCCUCCUCAUUAAACUCAUCUUCAUGAUCCUCCAGCUCUUCCAAAGUCAUAUCUUCAUAUGUUUUCACCACUGACUGCUGGAGGAUGCACUGCUCCUCUUCUGCCUCCUCUUCCAAUUCUUUCAGACUUUCCUUGGGGGGUAAGAUACCCUUUUUGCGUUAAGAUGUCAUUCCACUCAGUGUCUGCGUUGGGGUCCUGCAUCUUGUUUCCAGUUCAGUUGCUCAAGCCAGCUGUGCCGCCUUGUUUUUUUGUUUUUUUGUUUUUUGUUUUUUUGAGACAGAGUUUUGCUCCUGUUGCUCAGGCUGGAGUGCAGUGGCACAAUCUCGGCUCACUGCAACCUCCACCUCCUGGGUUCAAGCUAUUCUCCUGCCUCAGCCUCCCCAGUAGCUGGGAUUACAG
rnacentral:lncRNA from 1 species